GACGAACGCUGGCGGCGUGCCUAACACAUGCAAGUCGAACGGGCCUUGUCCCCUUUUUUUUUGGGGGUGGGGUUAGUGGCGAACGGGUGAGUAACACGUGAGUAACCUGCCCCUCACUUCUGGAUAACCGCUUGAAAGGGUGGCUAAUACGGGGUGUUCUGGCCUGCUCGCAUGGGUGGGUUUGGAAAGAUUCGACCGGUUUUGGUUGUUUUGGUGGGGGAUGGGCUCGCGGCCUAUCAGCUUGUUGGUGGGGUGAUGGCCUGCCAAGGCUUUGACGGGUAGCCGGCCUGAGAGGGUGGGCGGUCACACUGGGACUGAGACACGGCCCAGACUCCUACGGGAGGCAGCAGUGGGGAAUAUUGCACAAUGGGCGCAAGCCUGAUGCAGCGACGCCGCGUGAGGGAUGGAGGCCUUCGGGUUGUGAACCUCUUUCGCCAGUGAAGAAGGUCCUGCUCUUUGUGGUGGGGUUGACGGUAGCUGGGUUAAUGAAGCGCCGGCUAACUACGUG
rnacentral:rRNA from 1 species